rnacentral:rRNA from 1 species
AACGAACGCUGGCGGCAUGCCUAACACAUGCAAGUCGAACGAGACCUUCGGGUCUAGUGGCGCACGGGUGCGUAACGCGUGGGAACCUGCCCUUAGGUUCGGAAUAACUCCCCGAAAGGGGUGCUAAUACCGGAUAAUGUCUUCGGACCAAAGAUUUAUCGCCUUUGGCUGGGCCCGCGUUGGAUUAGCUAGUUGGUAGGGUAAAAGCCUACCAAGGCGACGAUCCAUAGCUGGUCUGAGAGGAUGAUCAGCCACACUGGGACUGAGACACGGCCCAGACUCCUACGGGAGGCAGCAGUGGGGAAUAUUGGACAAUGAGCGAAAGCCUGAUCCAGCAAUGCCGCGUGAGUGAUGAAGGCCUUAGGGUUGUAAAGCUCUUUUACCCGGGAUGAUAAUGACAGUACCGGGAGAAUAAGCUCCGGCUAACUACGUG